rnacentral:lncRNA from 1 species
GCGAUGAGGAACAGCUGAUCACCUGUGGAAGUCAUUUGUCCUAAAUUGUCAUGGACAGACCAUGUGCCUUACAGCAAGAAAAUUCUGUGAAUAAACAGGAAGCCAGCCAGCCAGGGAAGAUGCUUUUGUGAUAUAUCCCAGCAUGCUGAUGACCCCAAGGAGGACCACUGGAUACCUAGCAAGGAAAAAGAAGAACUGAUUGAAGAGUGGCAACCAGAACCUCUUGUUCCUCCUGUCCCAAAAGACCAUCCUGCUCUCAACUACAACAUCGUUUCAGGGCAAUAUGAUAAAAUUGAAAAAUUUCACAAAUGUCAGGAGAACAAGAUCUGGUGUCUGGGUUUCAACUCUUAGAGCUUCCCAGCUCGUAGCUAUGCUCCUGAAUUCCUCUGGCAGCCCUCCUCAAGGACCUCUGUGAGACAAAGUCAGAAAUGACUUCACUGGAGACCAAGAGAGCCCACAGAGCUCUUCCUGCUGCUUCUUCUACCCUUGUACUCACUCGGCUCUCUAAAUUUGUCUCAGCUCCAGGUGCCCAGGAUGAAAAUCUGUGAAACAAAGCAUCAGGAAUCCAGAAGAAAGACUGAGCAGCAAUUGAUAAAAAACAUAAGGCUAAGGGUCUAUACAACUAGAUAUUGGAAUUUAGCUAGAGGCAUGAGUAACAGAUUCUAGGGGGUGAGGUAGAGGGAGACAGGAGCAGCACGUAUGACAUUUGGUCAUGGCUGACACUUUCUGUGGCACAUGUUUUAUAAAGGCUUCCAAUGGAGACCAAUUUCACCUGAGUGCAUAGUCAGAUCC